GGGGACUAAAGUGCCAGGGCCCGGGGACCUCACGUAGGGGUCACUGCCUCCACUGCCUGGCCAGUCUCCAGGCUUUCCGGGACUGGCCUCCUCCUCCUCCUCCUCCUCCUUCUCCUCCUCCUCCAGGCCGGGUGGGAGGGAGGGGAGAGGGGCUGGGAGGGGGCCCUCCCCAGGGGUGAGGCCGGACUGGGGCGAGCACAGCUGGGCCAGCUUCAGGAGAACAGAAACGCCCGUGCCGCUGGUGGCCCCAGAGAAGAGGCUUCAGAGACACCUUUGGGGGUUGGAGACCCCAGCUGCUCUCAGCCGCUCCUGCCGUGGGCCCGACGCCCGCCUUGAGGGCCUCCAGGGGGUGACGGAGGAGAGAGCCUGGCUUCCCACACCCGCUCCGAGACCGCUGCGCCCUGACACGGGGACAUGGGUUCAAGCCCUGGUCCGGGAGGAUCCCACAUGCCGCGGAGCAACUAAACCCGUGUGCCACAACUACUGAGCCUGCGCUCUAGAGCCCACGAGCCACAGCUGCUGAGCCCACGUGCCACAACUACUGAAGCCCACGUGCCUAGAGCCCGUGCUCCAAAACAAGAGAAGCCACCGCAAUGAGAAGCCCGCUCGCCGCAACUAGAGAGAAGCCCACGUGCAGCAACGAAGACCCAACGCA